AAAACACUGAGCAGUUUUCAUGAAACUUAGAUGAAUUGUUUAUUAUAAUUGAUGUGAGCUCUCUUUCGAUUUUUAUAAAUUUUAAAUAUUACGUUUCCAAGUUAUGAGAUUUUAUUCAUUAAAAAAGGGGGAUUUUCCAGUUUUCAGACAAUAACUCAAAAAUGCUUUGAGCAGUUUUCAUGAAACUUUGGUGAAUUGUUUAUAUCUAUUGAUGGAGCUCCCUUUCGAUUUUUAUAAAUUUUCGAUUUCACGUAUCAGAGUUAUGGGGUUUUAUUCUUUAAAAAAGGGGGAUUUUCCAGGUUUCGGACAAUAACUCUAAGUGCUUUGAGCAAUUUUCAUGAAACUUUGGUGACUGGUUUAUAUCUAUUGACGGGAGCUCCCUUUUGAUUUUGUCUUUCUGGCAUGUAUCAUCAAACCUUGACCUAAUUUUCAUGGUUCAUUGGUCAGUGUUAAGUUUUCCAGGUUAAAUUUAUUUCUUAGAUACUAUAAGUAAUAGGUCAACUAUAUUUGAUGCAUUGAAAGAUUUUAAGAUGUACAUGUCUGUCUGGCAGGUUCAUCUGACCUUGACCUCAUUAUCAUGGUUCAUUGGUCAAUAUAAAAUUUUCAUGGUUUGGUCUGUUUCUUGUAUAGUAUAAGCAAUAGGUCGACUAUAUUCAGUGUAUGGAAUGAUUGUAAGGUGUACAUGUAUUUCUGGCUUGGUUUGUUUGACCGUAACCUCAUUUUCUUGGAUCAUGUUGAGUUUAUGUGAUACUUGUAGUAAAACUUUAUAUAUAGGACUAUCAACAUAAAAUCAAUGGUCAGUAGAGCAGGCGAGACAUUUAAGCUUGUGCACUCUUGUUUAUUUUUUCACAUUCAUCAAAUAUUGAUCAACCAGAUUAAAUUAUUUAUGACAGUUAAGCCAAAAUAGUACCAAAUAUUUAUUUGGCCAUUCUGAAAUAGUCCUCUUGAAAACUGAGAUAAUUAUACUGGGCAUGUGUGAUUGGAUCAAUAUCCAAUGACCCUAUGAUGCAAAACAGUGUCAAAUUCUCACCCCUCCUUCCUAGAUUUAAUAUUUGAUAGUUGGUUAAAAGAGGAUGUAUUCAAAUUACAAUAAAUACAUGUAGUACAAUGCAUUAAUAAAUGUUCAUAGCAGAAUACAAAUUUUAAUUUAUAAAAAAUAUGACCAAAAAUAUUACUUGUUUAAUACAGAUUAGUAAUUUUUUAUGUAACGCUGGGAAACAUAUUCUUUACAGGAAAAACUAUUCACCUGUCAACCGAUUGGGGCAUUUUCUUUCGGGAUUUCAAUUCUAUUUGGAACAUUAUGGAAGCAUAUUUCUAAAUUGAUAGUUGUUAAAAUAGAAAUUGUUCAAGUAAUAUACUAGAUUUAGGUUAUUAUACCUUAGAUUUCCCAAAGUUUUGCCUAAGCAAGUUGGCUUUUAUCAUCUAUCAGUUUAAACAAAAUAAAUUAUAUAAAUUAGAUUGAUUAAGAGAUUCAACGCUUUGGCAUAACAUUUCCAGUUUCAUAAAAAUCAAACUUUGAGGCAAUUACAUGAAGGAAAAAUAUCUAAAAAAAAAAAAAAAUAAUAAUAAUUUUUCGUAAAUCUUUCAAUGGUUAGUGAAACUGAAUGAAAAUUAGUAUUAAUUUUGUUUUAUGUGAUUUAUAUGAUACAAUAGAUUAUUGAAUCACAACCAGUAUAUUGCCUACACACUACUGAAAAGUGGUUGAUGAUUAGUUAGAUAUUUGCUCAAUGGUUAUUAAGAACAUGUACAAUAUCAUGAAUGGAAAGUGAAAGAUGAUGAGAUGGUUCAUGAUAUAAAAACUCAUUUAAUAUUCAGCAUAUUUAGGCUUCAGUGUAUGGUUCAUCAUAGUGUCCCCUGCGCAAUUAAUUAUUUAUGCAAAUAUUGAAUAUUAUCAAAUUAAAGUAAGUCGUUUUGAAGUUAGUUUUUUUUUAUAAUCAUCUUGGUUAUGCUUAUCAUCUCAUAAAUCAACUUAAAUGGCAGAAGACAGUUCUUUCAUAGAAUACUCAGUUGAAAUUUUGACAUUUCUUGCAAGAGUUAUAAAUUACAAAAUGGAUGCUUUUUGGUGGCCAUUUACAAGGGCUAUAGCAACAUUUUGAUACAACAGUUGGAAACCAGAUUUUGUUUCUUUUCUCUGUAUGAUGUACAGGGUAACAUGUUGGAAUUCAUUCUGGAUUUAAUAAAAAAUUAUUGUUCGGCAUCAUCACACUCCAAAAAACACAUUGGUUUUCGCACUCUAACUUUAGUUUUAGUGAAUGGAUCUCCAUGAAAUUUUACCAUAAGGUUCAAUACCACGAAAGGAAGGUUGGGAUUGAUUUUGGGGGUUAUGGUACCAACAGUUAAGGAAUUAGGGGCCAAAAAGGGGCCAACAAUAAGCAUUUUUGUAACUUCCAGACAAUAACAUGUGUGUAAGUGUAUGGAUCUCUCUGACAUUGUACCACAAGGUUCCUUAUCACAAAGGGAAGGCUGUAAUUGAUUUUGGGGGUAAUUGCCUCAAAAUUUUAGGAAUUAGGGGCCAAAAAAGGGGCAAAAAACAAGCAUUUUUCUAGUUUCAUGACAAUAACUUGUGUGUAAGUGUUUGGAUAUUUCUGAAAUUGUACUACAAGGUUCCAUAUCACAAAGGGAAAGCUGGAAUUGAGUUUGGGGGUAAUUGCCCGAAACGUUUAGGAAUUGGGGGCCAAAAAGGGGCCAAAAAUAAGCAUUUUUCUAGUUUCCAGACAAUAACUUGUGUUCAAGUGUAUGGAUCUCUCUGAAAUUGUACUGCAAGGUACCAUACCACAAAGGGAAGGCUGGGAUUGAGUUUGGGGGUGAUGAAUCAUAAGGGGGUUCAAAAAAUUUGGGGGGGGGGGGAUUUUUUUUUUUUCUUUUUUUUCUUUUUUUCCUUUUUUUUUUUCUUUUAAAAUUUUCCAUUGUAAGUUGGUUAUUUCUGAUUAAUAUUUAAAAGCAAAUAAUAAUGAUAUGGUAGGAGAUACACACCAAACAGGAUGUGUAAAUUAUUAUAUAAUAAGUAUUGUGCAAUAGUAAGAAAUUUUCAAUUGCACAGUAUUGCGCAAUAACAAGAAAUCUUCAAUUGCACAGUAUUGCGCAAUAGCAAGAAAUAUCCAAUAGCACAAUAUUGCGCAAUAGCAAGAAAUUGUCAAUUGUACAGUAUUGCGCAAUAGCAAGAAAUAUUCAAUUGCACCGUAUUGUGCCAAAGAAGAUACUUCGUAUAAAUUGCUUAUUUCUUGAUCAAUUUCAAUGGGGUUUUAUUCUUGAAUUCUUGGGGUUCUUUAAUAUGCUGAAUCUAAUCGUGUAUUAAGUUUUUAUACGCCCGUUUAUGGGACGUAUUAUGGUAUACCGUUGUCCGUCUGUAUGUCAUUUACUCAAAAACGCUUUAACCAAUUUGCAUAAAACUUUGGUGAAUUGUUUAUAUCUAUUGACGUGAGCUCCCUUUCGUUUUUUAUAAAUUUUAGAUUUUAUGUUUCUGAGUUAUGGGGUUUUAUUCAUUGAAAAAAGGGGGAUUUUCCAGUUUUCGGACAAUAACUCAAGAAUGCUUUCACUAACAUUCAAGAAAUUGUGGUGAAUUGUUUAUAUCUAUUGACAUGAGCUCCCUUUUGAUUUUUAUAAAUUUUAGAUUUUACGUUUCUGAGUUACAGGGUUUUAUUCAGAAAAAAGGGGGAUUUUCCAGUUUUUGGACAAAAACUCAAAAAUGCUUUCAGCAGUUCUCAUGAAACUUUGGUGAAUUGUUUAUAUCUAUUGAUGUAAGCUCCGUUUAGAAUUUUAUAAAUUUUACAUUUUACAUUUCUGAGUUGUGGGGUUUUAUUCAUUAAAAAAGGGGGGAUUUUCCAGUUUUCAGAAAAUAACUCAAAAAUGCUGUCAGCAAUUCUCAUGAAACUGGUAAAUUGUUUAUAUAUAUUGAUGUAAGCUCCCUUUUGAUUUUCAUAAAUUUCUAAUAUGACAUUGAGAAUGAAUUGAACUUUAUUUGUUUAUAGUCUGAAAACAGAUUUACUAAGUAUUGCGCAACAGCACAGUGUAUUACACAACAGCAAGAAAUCUUUAAUUGAAUAUAAAUUCAAUUCAUAUAACCAGUUUCAAGUUCUUUGACUAGAUUUAUUCAGAAACCUAUAAUAUGUCAAAUAUUUAAUUACAAUCCAAAUUCAGACCUGUAUCAAGCUUGAAUAUUGUGUCCAUUUUUGCCCCAACUGUUCAGGGUUGGACCUCUGCGGGCGUAUCAAGCUGCGCUCAGCGAAGCAGUUUAUUGGAUUUUGGGCCCCGUUUUUAAAUUGGUCCACAUUGAGGUCCAAAGGGUCCAAAAUUUAACUUUGUUUGAUUUCAUCAAAAAUUUAAUUAUUGGGUUCUUUGAUAUGCCGAAUCUAACCAUGUAUUUAGAUUCUUAAUUUUUGGUUCCGUUUUCAAAUUGGUCUACAUUAAGGUCCUAAGGGUCCAAAAUUAAACUUUGUUUGAUUUUAGCAAAAAUUGAAUAUAUGAGGUUCUUUGAUAUGCUGAAUCUAAACAUGUAUUUAGAUUUUUUAUUUUUGGCCCAGUUUUCAAGUUGGUCCAAAUUGGGGUCCAAAAUUAAACUUUGUUUGAUUUCAACAAAAAUUGAAUAUAUGGGGUUCUUUGAUAUGCUGAAUCUAACCAUGUAUUUAGAUUUUUUAUUUGUGGACCCCGUUAUCAAAUUGGGUCAUAUUGAGGUCAAAAGGGUCCAAAAUUAAACUUUGUUUGAUUUCAUCUAAAAUUGAAUUAUUGGGGUUCUUUGAUAUUCCAAAUCUAACCAUGUAUUUAGAUUUUUAAUUUUGGGUCCUGUUUUUUAAAUUGGUCUACAUUAAGGUCCAAAGGGUCCAAAAUUAAACUUAGUUUGAUUUUAACAAAAAUUGAAUUCUUGGGGUUCUUUGAUAUGCUGAAUCUAAACAUGUGUUUAGAUUUUUGAUUAUGGGCCCAGUUUUCAAGUUGGUCCAAGAUAGGGUCCAGUAUUUAAACUUUGUUUGAUUUCAACAAAAAUUGAAUAUAUGGGGUUCUUUGAUAUGCUGAAUCUAAACAUGUAUUUAGAUUUUUGAUUAUGGGCCCAGUUUUCAAGUUGGUCCAAAUUGGGGUCCAAAAUUAAACUUUGUUUGAUUUCAACAAAAAUUGAAUAUAUGAGGUUCUUUGAUAUGCUGAAUCUAACCAUGUAUUUAGAUUUUUUAUUUGUGGGCCCCGCUAUCAAAUUGGUUCAUAUUGAGGUCAAAAGGGUCCAAAAUUAAACUUUGUUUGAUUUCAUCAAAAAUUGAAUUAUUGGGGUUCUUUGAUAUGCCAAAUCUAACCGUGUUUUUAGAUUUUUAAUUUGGGUCCCGUUUUUUUAAUUGGUCUUCAUUGAGGUCCAAAGGGUCCAAAAUUAAACUUAGUUUGAUUUUAACAAAAAUUGAAUUCUUGGGGUUCUUUGAUAUGCUGAAUCUAAACAUGUGUUAAGAUUUUUGAUUAUGGGCCCAGUUUUCAAGUUGGUCCAAGUUGGGGUCCAAAAUUAAACUUUUUUUGAUUUCAACAAAAAUUGAAUAUAUGGCGUUCUUUGAUAUGCUGAAUCUAACCAUAAUUUAGAUUUUUUAUUUGUGGGCCCCGCUAUCAAAUUGGUUCAUAUUGAGGUCAAAAGGGUCCAAAAUUAAACUUUGUUUGAUUUCAUCAAAAAUUGAAUUAUUGGGGUUCUUUGAUAUUCCAAAUCUAACCGUGUAUUUAGAUUUUUAAUUUUAAGUCCCGUUUUUUAAAUUGGUCUACAUUAAGGUCCAAAGGGUCCAAAAUUAAACUAAGUUUGAUUUUAGCAAAAAUUGAAUUCUUGGGGUUCUUUGAUAUGCUGAAUCUAAACAUGUGUUUAGAUUUUUGAUUAUGGGCCCAGUUUUCAAGUUUGUCCAAGUUGGGGUCCAAAAUUAAACUUUGUUUGAUUUCAACAAAAAUUGAAAAUAUGGGGUUCUUUGAUAUGCUGAAUCUAACCAUGUAUUUUGAUUUUGGACAUUGGACCAUAAUAGGUAAAUUAAAAAAAUUCAAGUUCAUAGACCACAUUCUUUCUGUGUCAGAAACCUAUGCUGUGUCAAAUAUUUAAUAACAAUCCAAAUUCAGAGCUGUAUCAAGCUUGAAUGUUGUGUCCAUACUUGCCCCAUUUGUUCAGGGUUCGACCUCUGCGGUCGUAUCAAGCUGCGCCCCAGCGAAGCAUUUUAUUAAAAAUUUUAAUUCAUGUUAAGAGUCCUUUUAGUGACACAUAGUACGUUAAAGCUUAUUAGUAGUGUACCUUUUUUUAAUUUGGCCACAUAGGGCAAGAGAGCUUUUCUCAUGACAUGGCAUCCGUGUUCCUUAUCCCACAUCGUCCAUUAACUUUUACAAAAAUCUUCUCUGAAACUUCUUGAUAAAAUUUAGCCACAAUCCUUAUUUGGGUAUCCUGUUUUAAAAAUGUGUCCAAUGACCCCAUCUGCCAACCAAUGUGGACAACAUGACUAAAAACAAAAGAUAGGGGUCAAAUUCAAGUAUUGUCUAUUAUCUUUAAAACUGCUAUAAAUAGAGAAAAUCCAAGAGUGGCAGAAAUGUUCAAAAUAUUGAGUUCUAAUUCUACCUAUUGUCCAUUUACAUCAAACUGUUGGAAGACUUCUUGUAGAAGUUAUUGCCCUUAUACAACAAUUUUUACCAAUUUUUUUCCAUUUUUGCCUUUUACCUUAAAAACUAUAAUAGAUACAGAGAAACUUGAAAUAACAAAUAAGUCAGCAAGAAGAUCUACAAAUAAGUCAAUAAAAACUAAAGAAGAUAGAGAGAAACUGUAAACAGAAAAAAUUACCAGCAAUACAAGAUCAACGAAAAAACGAAAUAUAUUGUCAUGAAUUCUGUUCUACUCCACAAUGUUGGAGAGUGUGCAUUCUUGACGAUGUACAUAGACCUAGGUGAGCAACACAGACUGUUUAGAGCUUCUAGUUUGCUGUUAUUUUGAAAACUAUGAGAGCUGGGUUAAAAACAUCUAUUUACUCUGAUAAUUUUGACAACUGCUGUUGGAGUUAUUAACCCAGAAAUGUUAUUUUUUUUUUUGCAUUUUUGGCUGGUACUAGUAUUUAGAAACCUACAUGAACUGAACUGGUUAAACAUGAAAAUUGCAAAAAUGUUCAGCAACAAACAGUUACUAUAGUAUAUGCAUAUUAAAGUUCUAAUAAGCAAACUGGUGAUUUUUUUUCACCAGGUACAAUACAGGCAUAGGUGUGCAUCUUGUUUUUCUCAUCACUUGGGGUCCGCUGUUGGUCAUCUGUUUACUUUUACAAAAAUCUCCUUUGAAACUACUAGGCAAAAUUUAACCAAACUUUGCCACAAUCUUCAUUGGGGUUUCUAGUUAAUAAAAAUGUGUCCGAUGACCACACCUGCCAACCAAGAUGGCUAACAUGGCUAAAAAUAUAACAUAGGGAUAAAAGACAGGUUUUGUCUAUUAUUUUGAAAACUGUUAUAAAUAGAGAAAAUCUGACAGGGGGGAUGUUUAGAAUGUUGAGCUCUACCAAUUGUCUAUAUACGUCAAAAAUGUCAGACGACUUCUUAUAGGAGUUAUUGCCCUUAAAUGACAAAUUUUACCAUUUUUUUUUUCAUUUUUGCCUUUUAUCUGGAAAACUAUAAUAAACAAAGAGAAACUUUAAACUGCUAAAAAUUAUGAUAGAUGGAUAGAAACUUAAAUAAGCAAAAAUGAUCAGCAAGGCAAGAUCUACUAACAAGUCAAAUUUUGCCAAUAUAAUAAGCAGACUGCCACUCUGUUAAGGAGUGAUUGCCCUUAAAUGAGGAUUUGUUUUUACCCUCUUUUGUGUUUUGAGCAAAAACUAUAAAGAGAUAGAGAGAAACUAAACAGACUAAAUGAUCAGCAAUACAAGAUCAACAAAACAGAGAUUUUUGUCUUGAAUUCUAUUUUCGUCUACAAUGUUGGAGAUUGUCCUUUGUUGAAUAUGCACAUAGACCAAGUUGAGCGACACAGGCUCUUAAGAGCCUUUAGUUUACUUCAGUGCAGCACCUUGUUUGAAAAGCUUUUUCAAAUAUUAUUUUUUGGUUCAACUACAAUGCAUUUGAAUUUUUAGUUACUUUAAUAUACUCUACUGUAAACUUUAUUUUAUAUUGCAAAUAAUUGUACAUUAUAUUGUCUGUUUUAUUUUUUAGUAUUUCAAAAGUUUAAUAAUAAGAUCUUAACUGUUAAAAAUAGAAUAGUUUGUUAUUAAUACAAAUGUGCAUUCAUAUAUAUUAUGAAAAAUAAUUUCAAAGCUACAGUAUCUGUUUAUUAAAUAUACGUUUUAUUUG